GACGGUCUAAGGGCCAAUUAUUAUGCAAUAAUUUUUAAUUAGUUUGAUUCUAGCUAAUAUAUUAGUUUAUAUGAAUAAUUAUAUGUAUAAUUUAUAUAAAUUUUUAUUUACAUCAGUAAUAAAUAUUUAUUAAGUAAGAAGUUUUAUUAAAGAUAUUUUAUUAAAAUAGAUUAAUGUUGUGCCAGCAUUCGCGGUUAUACAAUUUAUUUAUAUUAAUAAUUUAGGUUAAGAAUAAAUUUAUUUAAGUUCAGGUUUAUAAGAAUUUAAAAUUUAGGUGGAAUUUGUUUUGAGGUUAUAAUCUAUUUAAAAUUUUUUGUACACCAUAAUAUUAAACUAGGAUUAGAUACCCUAUUAUUUUUGGCUUACUAUUUACAGGACAUUAGUAGUUAUUUACUAUGAAAUUCAAAGAAUUUGGCGGUGGCUUAUUCUUUUUAGAGGAAUCUGAGCUUUAAUCGAUAAACCACGAUAUGUUUUACCUCUUAACUAUUUGUAUAUCUCUAUGUAAUAGAAUGUUUUAUAAAGAAUAUUUUCUUUUAUUUUUUGAAAUUAUUUUAGGUCAAGGUGCAGUUUUUAUGAAGGGUAGUUUGGAUUACUUUAGUUUUAUUUUUUAAUAAAUUAUUUAUUUGUCAAUAAUAUUAUUUUUAGGAUUUAAUAGUAAUUUUGAUUAUUUAAUUGAUUUGAAUUAAGUUUUAAUUCAUGUACAUAUCGCCCGUCACUCCUAUUAAAAGGAUAAGUCGUAACAAAGUAAUUUUACCGGAAGGUGAG
rnacentral:ncRNA from 1 species